ensembl:lincRNA BC028471 cDNA sequence BC028471
UGGGAUGUUCCCUAAGCACGACAGCGAAUAUGUGCUCUGCCUGCUAGCUCACUGUUGUUUGUGCUGGAAAGAACCCGGGCCCAGCCCAGAGCCACGUUGCAGGGCUCAGGACUGCUCUAAAACACUGCCACCUAGUGGCGUGAUGAGGGUUGUAGCUCAGGAAUCCUGGGAGAAGCAUGGAAGAAUCUUCUAGCAUGUGGGGACUCUCGGGACCCAAGAGGGAGAGCAACUCCUAAAGACAUGGAGGCUUCUAGUACUUCAGGACAUACAAUGGGUCUGAAAUUCUUGCUUGGGGCCAUAUGGAUUGGCCGCGCAGGGAGGAAAUUAUAUUCAGCUUUCUGUUUCUGCUCAACUCUUUCCACUGGGUAAGGCAAGUGCCCUUAGAAGUGGCACUUGCCUUACCUCACAUUCUGACAGGAAUGACUGAUCGCCUUUCAGUCCACACAAGAUAAGGAGCCUCGUCGGAGCUGUCUUAACUAAACAAUAACGAACCACCCAGAGCACUCUUCCAAGACGGGAGAGAAUUCCCCACAUGUGUUAAGCAUUUUAUUCUUCCCAAAUGCUUUACUCUGUAUUAUUGUGUUAAAUUGGAUAAUGUCGACAUGAAAGGGCUGUGUCAAUUGUAUCAGAUAACAAAAAAGUAAGAUUUUGU